GACAAUCGCUGAUACACUGGCUUGCCAGCUGUAUUUGAGGAAAGUCCGGGCUCCACAGGGCAGUGUGCUGGAUAACGUCCAGCGAGGGUGACCUUAGGGAAAGUGUCAUAGAAAAGGAAACCGCCUAAGCAGGUUCGCCUGCCGGCAAGGAUGGAAAGGCGUGGUAAGAGCACACCAGCAGCCAGGUGACUGGUUGGCUUGACAAACCCCACAUGGAGCAAGACCAAAUAGGGAAGGAUACGAGGCGGCCCGCUGACCUUCCGGGUGUGUCGCUAGAGCUGUCAGGCAACUGGCAGUCCAGAUAAAUGAUUGUCACCGCGGAAGCGGUACAGAACUCGGCUUAUUGACCAC
rnacentral:RNase_P_RNA from 1 species